rnacentral:rRNA from 1 species
UACGUAGGGGGCAAGCGUUGUCCGGAAUCAUUGGGCGUAAAGAGCGUGUAGGCGGUUCGGUAAGUCGGCUGUGAAAGUCCAGGGCUCAACCCUGGGAUGCCGGUCGAUACAGCCGGACUAGAGUUCGGAAGAGGCGAGUGGAAUUCCCGGUGUAGCGGUGAAAUGCGCAGAUAUCGGGAGGAACACCUAUGGCGAAGGCAGCUCGCUGGGACGUUACUGACGCUGAGACGCGAAAGCGUGGGGAGCAAACAGG